CCUACGGGAGGCAGCAGUGAGGAAUAUUGGUCAAUGGACGAGAGUCUGAACCAGCCAAGUAGCGUGAAGGAUGACUGCCCUAUGGGUUGUAAACUUCGUUUAUAUGGGAAUAAAACGUUCCACGUGUGGGAUUUUGUAUGUACCAUAUGAAUAAGGAUCGGCUAACUCCGUGCCAGCAGCCGCGGUAAUACGGAGGAUCCGAGCGUUAUCCGGAUUUAUUGGGUGUAAAGGGAGCGUAGGUGGAUUGUUAAGUCAGUUGUGAAAGUUUGCGGCUCAACCGUAAAAUUGCAGUUGAAACUGGCAGUCUUGAGUACAGUAGAGGUGGGCGGAAUUCGUGGUGUAGCGGUGAAAUGCUUAGAUAUCACGAAGAACUCCGAUUGCGAAGGCAGUUCACUGGACUGCAACUGACACUGAGGCUCGAAAGUGUGGGUAUCAAACAGGAUUAGAUACCCGUGUAGUC
rnacentral:rRNA from 1 species